CCCGCCCGCUCCGGCCCCGCCAGGCUGGCCCCGGCACCCCGCGGGCUCUGCCCGCCUGGCCCAGCCCCUGCCCGGGUACUGCCGCCCGCUCCCCGCUCCCGGCAGCGCGGUGCCGAGCCGCAGUGACUGCUCACCCGCACCUCUCCUCUUGUGCAGCUCAGCCCCGCGGCAGGGAGCGCGGUCUGCUCCUCUUCGUCGCACUUUUAUUUUGCUGAGAAAAACGGGAGCGUGUGUUUGCAAUUGUCACCUCUGAGUCCUGUCAGUCCUCCAUUUCUCCUAGAGGUCAUCCAAUAAACCAGGAAUUCCUGUCCCGACAUUUCUGAUGGAUAAAUACCAAUAAAUCGUCGCGUCGAUCUUCACAGGCUGAAAAGAAGCAAUACAGAGGCCAAGAAAAAUUGUUAGUGUUGCAUUUAAGUUCUCUGUAAUUGUUUGUACAACAUUGUAUCUACAGAAAAAGCACCAUGAAUCUUGAAAGGAGAAUAAAGUGAAUACUUACUACAUUCAGGGAUCAAGAGAUGCUGCCUCUAUUUCUAUCGCUUGCUGACGCUGUAAAAAUGCACCUUUAUUUGUCCCUUUCCAGCUUGGUUUUGUCUACGGACAGUUGACAGCUCUUUGGGAACAAGGAUCAGCUCUCACAUGGCAUAAAGAGAUUACUGUGAUACAAGUAGUAAUACCGUUGCAGAGCAUCCUUCUGGCUACCCAAUCAGCUUUUAACCAAGGCAGUACACACAGGCACACAUGCAAACCUGGAAAAGGGAAUUGCCUUUUUUUUUUAAAAAAAAAAACAUGGAUAUUUUAUAUAAAUCUUUAAUUCUGAAGAAACUGGCAGCACUCCACAAGUCACAAGCUGAAUCUUGUCAAGUGAUGAGAACUCUAAUCUUGAUCCAGGAAAACAGUUACACACAUGCCCAACUCCAAGCAUAUUGAAGACUUACUGAUCUGUGGGUGUGAAAUCUCCCAUCCUUCCAGCAAACAGAGCUGCAAAGAACACACUUCUCCACAAAAGAAGCCAAGGAAGGAUCAACACCGGUUAAACACUCUGACUGAAAGAUAGCAGAAAGUCCAUAGAGUUGAAAGACUUGUUUUUUACAGGUACCAUUUGAAAGACUCCUGUUACACGGGUGUGUGCAACUCAGCUUUCCUAGAAGGGCUGAACUGUCUGUUGGCUCAGACUGUACAACCUGCAAAGUGAAGACAGAAUGGAUACUACUGGUGCCUGUUAAUGUGUCAUCAGGCAGGGUAAAGACUUUUGAGAGACAUGGGAAGAUGGACUUGCCGUGGGGCGUGACAUGAAUCUCAGGUUGGUCACAAGGUGACUCAGGAAAUCUUGAGUCUCCCAAAGACCAAAAUGAGUGCACACAGGGGAAGACCUGACAUCUCUGCAUAAUAAAAGAAAUUAAUUCUGGUAAAGAUCCUCAGGAGCACUGUAUCAGAUUCUAGUAAUUAAAGAUAUUCUUAAGUUCCUUUGA